CCUCUAUUAUCUCAGCCAUUGAUUUCACAACCACCAGCGGUACGGUGCUGCAUAAGCCACUCUCAAACAUGGAGCUUGAUGAUGUUGUCAUUGCAAAACAAGUAAUGGCUACUCAUCAUCUCAAUGCCAAUAUCAACAUUGAGUUAGAUGCAGAUUUUGUUAUCAACUUAGCGGAAAAUAUUUUCAACCCUAACAUGGUUUCUAGAGAAGUUGAACAAGAGAUGCUGAUAACUGAAAAGUCCAUUCAAGAGUUUCGAGAGGUCGAGAAAGACAUGCCAAUGCUGCAAACGCUCAUUCAGAAGGAACUCUCAUAUCAAAUAAAACAACUUUCCUUCGAGGUAGCAUUUAAAAGUUUGAAUAAUGAUACCGAUUGUCACUUAGCAACAAUCUGUCUACUAAGUAUAUUAUCGACUUACCCUUGGGAAGCCAAGGUAGUCAUGAUGCUUGCAGCUUUUUCGUUGAUCUGUGGAGAUUUCAUCAUUAUUUCUCGAUACAGUCAUUGGAAGAAAUUACCAAACAAGUUAAGACUUUUCAAGCAAAAUCUAAUUGUUGCGCCAUCUGAAAAAAUAUCUGAAGAUUCUAUUGUUAAGUUGAUUAUAAACCUCGUUAAAUGUGUGAGUGAGCUUCAUCAACCGUCAUUUUUUUCUCCACCGCAACCAGUAAUUUUGGCGACUUAUUGAAUUACCAGAAGUAUUCUUACUUGUAUCCAACCUACUCUAUGUGUUGAGUCCAAAAAUGAGAUAAUGGAAGAAUCCACUUUAAUUGCCAAAUCCAAAACCAUACUCUCUGCUUGCUACCCACUGUUAGAGGCAAAGAGAACAGAAAAAGCUUACGAAGCAUUAUUGCAUGGUUUUAGUCAUUCUCAUAAUAAUCUUGAAGUUCUCAAGUUGAUAUUCAAUGUCAAUGAUGAUUACGAGCUGAUAUUUGAUCAUAGUACGGUAAUUAAGUAUUUGAAUUUUAUUCUCCUAAAUAAAUAUAUUCAAACA